GAGACUGAAGCUGGAGACAGUUAAACAGGCUAAAGUAAGAGUUUUCAGUCUAAUCCAAAGACGUAUCUGCAUCACUGGUGAGGAUUUUUCUCUUUCUGUAGGAAUACAUGAACACGGGGUGAUGGGACAGAAACAGGACAAGGAGCUAGGAAAAGAAGACGUCCUGACUGGCGCCGUUAGUGACUAUGAGAUCUUAAACCGAAGCGAGGAGGAAGCACAUUCCAACAGCUCAGAAGAAACAGAGCAGAAUUUUGUUCACUUGGACACCUCCAUACUAGAGCCCCAUCAGGAACCAACAAGACCUAAUGACAACACCACUGAGCCCUCUUUAAACCAGAGGGGAAAAAAGAUCAGACAGAGUUAUGACACGGAUGUUUCACAGAAUGCCAGGACACCAAAUCCUCAACUGAGCCUAGCAAGAGAUUCAUGUGCCUCAGAAUUCAAAACAGCCACAGAUAUAUCUACUGCUGUGGACCAGCAACGACCUGACAAAACACACCUCAAGGAUACUCCAAACAUGUUAGAAGGCUCUUGUCAAGGGGACUCAACAGAUGACGGCGUGAACAUUGAGAAGCAUGAGACACAGACGCUGUCUGAGAGACAGAAAGGGAUGUUAGACACAAAGGCAAUGACAAAGAUGAGUGGUAAUGUUGAAAUAAAGAGGAAAUUUUCUUUGGAAUCAGAGAAUGCUAUUUUACUUGAAAGACAGCCAUUCCAGGAAUUAGGAGUUUCAGAGGACAAAUAUAAACAUGAAAUGCAGACCCUAAGAAGUGACAAAAUUAGGAGAAGUUGUGAAAAAGUUUGCAAAGAAAGUGCUGGAACUGUUCGACAUGAAGAAAGUCCUGAUGCAGACAGAUUUGAGUAUUUGGACAGAGUUGAUUCUUUAUGUCCAAAGACUGUGACUACAUGUCCGUCAAUCACUGGAGUCCACUCAAAUUCAAGUCGCCCGUGGCUUCAGAGUGCUAAUAAGCAGGAUAAUUUACAGGGAGAUAAAAAUAUCAAUAGAGGUUUCUCACAAUGUGUUUUCCAAGAACCUAAUGAUGCCUCACAGACACCCAAAGAAAACUUCAGAAACGACCAAAGAAACCCAACUUUCCGUACACCAUUACUGGGAAAAGAAGAGACCGGAUGGGGUAAAACUGAAGAUUUUGAUGCUGGUGAUGCCGAAAGAGUCACACAGGUGGCUUCAUUGCAGCGGGAAAAAGAGCCUCUCUAUUUCACAGCUGUGAUCACACCACCACUUCAGAUUCAUACAUUUCCUGAUCAGGAGGCGAGGAAGUCAUCUGACGUCUCUCAUUUGUACGUUCCUCACGCUGAAAUACAGAGCAUGAUCUCUGACAUCCUACCCGCAGAUGCUCAGACAGACGAAAAGGCCAAAAUCAAAGGAGCUCCACCACCUGUUCCGAAGAAACCAAAGAAUCCCUUUAAAAAAGCUGCUGGCCGCAAGGAAUCUGCUUCUCAUUCCACAGAGGAGCCAAGCAACUAUUCGGACCUAUUGCUCAGAAAUAUUAAAAUGGGCAGAAGGCAGGAGGCACUGGAGUCCGUUGAGGACUUUAAUAUGGAUCCAUCAUGUCUUGAUAUGUCACCUUAUUAUACUGAGUCCCCAUUCUACAUGUGCAUGUCCUUAGAUCCUGAGGCUGCUGAUAUUCCAAGAUAUUAUUUAGCCCCAUAUGAUGAAAUUGUUGCACCUGACUGCGAUAACUUGUUAGGAACUCUCGAUGAUAAAGAACUAAAAGAAAUGGAUAUGUCUCAGCUGAGACCACUGCUAAAAAAAAGAGCAAAAAUAAAGGGCCCACCACCACCUGUGCCGAAGAAGCCUCAAAAUCCAUUUGCUAAAACAGACACAGAGAAGAACCAAGCAAGCAAAGACUCUGAUUUGGAAAAUUUGGAUCAGCCUUUGAAAUAUGGUAGAUGUGACUCGGAAAGCUACAUGAUGGACAUUGAGGAUGAAGAAGACCUUGAACCCACCGCAGUCCCAACUAGAUAUCCUCACACCGCCUGUCGAAUUCCAAGCAGUGAUUCUUCUGCUUCAGAGGAAAACGAAAUGUCCAGAUACAGGCCCGUCUCUGAACUCAUCAGAGACAGCAACAAAAUCCAGAAGAAAGUGAUACAUCACAUCAGGACAAACAUAAUGAAAGCCGGGCCAGAUGUGACUGUGGGAAGCCAGAGUCUAAAAGUAUCGCAGAUGAAGACAGCCUUUGAUGUACAAACAUCUUCCCAUAAAAUGGAAAGAAGAUCCUCGCCGAAAAAAGGUAAGACAUGUUUUCAAGCUGAUUGCAUUCCUAGUUUUCACGAAGUUUCUAAAACAACUGACAGUGUUAUAGAAAAUCUUGAUCAGAUUUCUUAUAUAUAUAUAU
ensembl:lncRNA